CUGAAGACAUAUUGGUGAGCGGCUAGCAGAGAGGAAUGGCUACCGGAGAGGUGUGUAGAGGCAUGGCCAGCAGGAUGGCUAGCAGAGAGGAGCGGCUGGCGGUGAAGACUGUAGCAGAACCCCGUGGAGAGACGUGGCGAUUGGUCAUUGACCAGAGCAGUGGAGCAUACAGGUAUGGCAUGAACAGCAGCAGCAAAAUCUUGCAACCUACACUAUCAAUGCAGUACAACCCACUUCAUCUCAUCAGUGUGCCUUAACUUUGACCUGGAGAUAUUAUCCAUGUCCAGUCAGUCCUUCUGGGACAGUUGACAAGGAUUUCAGUUCUUUGGAGGUGACAUGAUUUUUUUAUGUGGAUAUUUGGUGAUGCACAAGUGAGAUUUAAAGGGCUCCCAGAAACUUCUGUUUUUACCACUGUUAAACUCUGAAAUUUCCCAUACUGGCCAGUGGCAGGGGCAGAAUACUAAACUAGAUAGACCACUGUUUGUAUGCAGUAUGACAAUUCCUGUGUUCCUAUACAAGGGUGAGGAGAAAACUACUUUUGCCUCCUUCUCUCUCCCAUGGUGCAAAUGCAUAAGCAGGAGCAUAACAUCACCAGAAAAUCUCACCCGGACAAUGAGAAUGUAACCUUGAACAAGAGCCUAAAUAGCAAGUUUAUUGAAAAAAGUGUCCACAAUUUUGCACUUGUAUUAAGAGAGGAUAUCUGAAACUUGGCCAAGUGUAUUCAUAACCAUAUAAUAAUAAUUAAUCUUGCUUAGUACUCAGGAUGCAUGUAUCAAAGGGGAAACACAUAAUUGAUUGUUGGAUAUUUUUCUGAUUUAUUACAUUGUAUAGAAAGCUCCUAACAAAAGCGAUGUGUGAGAAAUUUUGUGGUUCAUUCCAUUGGGUUCUUUCCUGCUGGUUUCUCAGAACAUGAAUGUGAUCUUUUGCAACUUCCCUCGUGACACUGCUGAAGAAAGAAGUACAGCUCAAACCAUACAUAAACUCAUGUCUCAGCACUCCUUUGUUCCUCUACUAUGCUUACUGUACUCCAUAGCACAUUAUUUGCUGUUUGAGUACUGUGUGUAGUGAAUAAAAUAAUUUUAAAGCACUC